UACGGGGGGAGCAAGCGUUGUUCGGAUUUACUGGGCGUAAAGGGCGGGUAGGCGGCCACCGCAAGUCAGUUGUGAAAUCUCCGGGCUUAACCCGGAAAGGUCAGCCGAUACUGCGGGGCUAGAGUGCAGAAGGGGCAACUGGAAUUCUCGGUGUAGCGGUGAAAUGCGUAGAUAUCGAGAGGAACACCGGUGGCGAAGGCGGCCCCCUGGGCCGUACCUGACGCUGAGGCGCGAAGGCGUGGGGAGCGAACGGG
rnacentral:rRNA from 1 species